UACGAAGGGGGCUAGCGUUGCUCGGAAUCACUGGGCGUAAAGCGCACGUAGGCGGAUCUUUAAGUCAGGGGUGAAAUCCCAAGGCUCAACCUUGGAACUGCCUUUGAUACUGGGGAUCUCGAGUCCGGAAGAGGUUGGUGGAACUCCGAGUGUAGAGGUGAAAUUCGUAGAUAUUCGGAAGAACACCAGUGGCGAAGGCGGCCAACUGGUCCGGCACUGACGCUGAGACGCGAAGGCGUGGGGAGCGAACGGG
rnacentral:rRNA from 1 species